rnacentral:tRNA from 1 species
GCGCCGAUGGUCCAGUGGUAGGACACGAGCUUCCCAAGCUCGGAGCCCGGGUUCGAUUCCCGGUCGGCGCACCA